GACAUUAGCUUGUUGGUAAGGUAACGGCUUACCAAGGCUGCGAUGUCUAGGGGGUCUGAGAGGACUAUCCCCCACACUGGUACUGAGACACGGACCAGACUCCUACGGGAGGCAGCAGUGAGGAAUAUUGCGCAAUGGAGGAAACUCUGACGCAGCCAUGCCGCGUGCAGGAAUAAGGCCCUAUGGGUUGUAAACUGCUUUUAUACGGGAAGAAAUAUAUCUACGUGUAGAUAUUUGACGGUACCGUACGAAUAAGGAUCGGCUAACUCCGUGCCAGCAGCCGCGGUAAUACGGAGGAUCCAAGCGUUAUCCGGAUUUAUUGGGUUUAAAGGGUCCGCAGGCGGGAAAUUAAGUCAGUGGUGAAAUCCUACAGCUUAACUGUACAACUGCCAUUGAUACUGGUUUUCUUGAGUACACCUGAAGUGGGCGGAAUGUGUCAUGUAGCG
rnacentral:rRNA from 1 species